CGCAGCAGUGGGAACGUCAAACAGACAAUCCCCUCGCCUUUUACUAGGGGAUUCCGUGCCGCUCCCACACUAUAAUGCUGCGUUUCAAUCUUUGGAAACUCUCUCCUCGAAGGAGUC
rnacentral:snRNA from 19 species